rnacentral:misc_RNA from 1 species
GCAAAGUCGCGAAGUCGCAAAGAUUUUGUUUUGCUUAAAAUUAAACUUUGCGACUUAGCGACUUUGC